rnacentral:misc_RNA from 1 species
UCGGGAAUGCCCUCGUGGCUUAACCUGCAACCCAGUGAUGUUACCUCUCAACUGCCUUUCGGCGGCUCGUCCGCCGGAGGAAAUCUCAAACUCGUUAUGAACGUGUCAUGAUCUUAACUAAAUAUCAAUAAAUUA